UUGAAUCACAGCUACAGCUGCUGGCCUCUGCCACAGCCACAGUAAUGGGGAAUCCAGGCUGCAUCUGUGACCUAUGCCACAGCUCAUGGCAAUGCCAGAACCCUGACCCACUGACUGAAGCCAGGGAUCGAACCUGUAUCCUCAUGGAUACUAGUCAGAUUCCUUUCCACUCUGCCACAAUGGGACCUCCUUAACAUUUAAUGGUAAUGUUCCUCUUGCUGUUAAAAAAAGGGGGGGGGGAAGGGGGCUGAUUUUAUGAGAUGGAAACCAUUACACACUGCAGCUCUCUGAUGGAAAGUGGAAAGCUCCAGACUGACUCAAGAAGAAAGGUCUGGAGGCUACAAAGUGUCUGGGAUCUCUUGCCCUCUAGAGUAGGAGUCAGCAAACUUUCUGUAAAGGACCAAAUAGUAAAUAUUCUCUGCUCUGCAGGCUGAGAAGCCACAUGCUCUCUUGUAGCCAGAAGGCAGCUCUAUACCACCAGUGAGCCGGACUAUGUCAGCAAACUACUGAAACAGGCCACGAACUGGAUUUUACCUGCAGGCUAUGCUUUGCCAACCAACCCUGGCUGUACAAGGAAGAUUCCAAAGAGGCUGUGGUGACUGGAGCCAGUUCAUUUCAGCUUGUAAGAGCCUGCUGUUAGUGCCUCCUCCCAAAAGCACGUCUAGUGAUUCCAUGUUAGCAAUUUGAAGUCAGCCAUGCUGGGAGUCACCACACCAUGGAAAUUGGCCAGAGCUGUGUAUGAGAGGUCCUUCCCCUUCCCAUACAUCCCCAAGGAACUAGCUGUUAAACAGUCUCCAGCCCAGCAUCAGGUGUAUAUCUGCAGAGACUGAGGUAGAGAGUGGAGGUGCGUGAGCCAGACGCCACACUGGAAUAAGAAAAGAAAUUACAUCAGUUCCUGUUUUAUCUCACCCUUAUAAAUUAACUAAUUUUCUGUGAGUUUCACAAAGUGCUAUUGCCCACAUUACAAGACAGGUCCUCAGAGUUCCCACUGUAUCUCGGCAAGUAAUGAAUCUGAUGAGUAUCCAUGAGGAUGCAGGUUUGAUCCCUGGCAUCGCUCAAUGGGUUAAGGAUCCAGUGUUGCCAUGAGCUGUGGUGUAGGUCACAGACAUGGUUCAGCUGUGGUGUAGGCCUGCAGCUGUAGCUCUGAUUUGACCCCUAGCUUGGGACUUCCAUAUGCCACAGGUAUGGCAAUAACAAGAAAGAAAGAAAGAAUAAAAGCUGUGUCCUCAAUUUUGUUUAAUGGAUUGGAGGACCUGCUGUACAGCACAGGAAACUCUACUCAGUGUUCUGUGAUAACCUAUAUGGGAAUGGAUAUGUGAAUACGUGUGGCUGCACCACGUGGCUGUUCAGCAGAAAUUAACAUAGCAUUAUAAAUUAACUGUAUUUCAAUAAAAUUAAUUUUUUUAAAAAGAUGCUAGAAGGGGCAUGGAACGGAUUCUCACUCUGAGCCUUUGGCAGAAUCCCACGCUGCCAACAGCUUCACUUUAUACUUUCAGCCUCCAAAACUGUGAGAGAAGAAAUUUCUGUUGCUUUAAGCCACCUUGUGGUUUUACUGUGUGACAGCAGCCCUAAGAAAGGAAGGCACUGGGAUUCUCAGAUAUAAUAGGUAAGGGCAAAAACUUCUUCACUGAGCACCCAGACAGUUCGGAAAAUAAAACCCAAAACACCUGAGUGAGUUUUAUACAACUUUUUGUAAGUGCACCUGCUUUGUGGGGGGGUGGGGGUGGGGGCAUCAUCUUAGCUGUAAUAAUAAAAAUAUCAUCAUUUAUAAAACAACCGUUCCCUCUCUCCCUCCCUUUCCUCCUUUGUCCUUCUGGGCUUCCCUCCUCAUUCCUUCAUAAAACACAUUUCGGAUGUCUACAGGUUCCAGGCAUUAUGGUAGGUUGUUGGGAUACAUCAGAGAACAGAAUGCUCAUGGAACUUACACCCCAGUUGAUGAUGCAAACAUUACAUAUCAUACACAAGCAAAUUAUACAGUAUGUUAGGAGGACAAAAAAAUAAGGCCAGGGAGAGGGGAUUUGGUGAUGCUGGGGCAGGGAGCUGCUCAUAGCAUUAAGUGGGAUACCAACCCUUGUAUGACCACCUAAACCAUUCUUGAGUUUCCAACCAUAAUGUCAACCUCACCUCUCAGAGUCUUCCCUUCAUGAGACAGCCCUGGUUCAAGACCAGUUGGAAUAGCUGUGUCUCAGUUGCAAAGAGGUUCUGUAAUGGUAUGAAGAAGACACACCCACCCCACCCCCAAGCAUCAUUGUCACCUGGACACAUUUUUAUACCCUGAAAAUGCUAAAUCCUUUCUCCUUUUUGUUUCUUUCCUUUUUUUAACUGCUGACCUGGGACUGGGCAUCAGAUCAGAAAGAGAAGAUGCUGACACUGUCAGAGCUCUUCCCUUGACCCUCACAGACUGGGAUCCUGUCCUAAUCCUAGUUACAGCUGAGGGGACUCAGGAAGGCAUGGCUUUGUCUUCCUGUCUGGCACCCACACAUCUUUAUCUUGAGAUCAGCUUUACAGCUUGACUUUGAGGACCCUCAUGGACCUCUUGGAACUAUGAGAGAGGAUCUUGGAGAGAGGUGGGUUCAAGGUGUCCUGCCUUUGGCUGAGCGAAAAAAGACACAUGAGCCCAAAGCAGGACAGCCACAUGUUUUCCUUAGAACCUGAGUCUUUUCCUUAUCCAUCUCAGUGGUGGGGCCAAAGCUUCUCUAACUCCUGUUAUUUUGGAUGCCCUGGAAAUUUCUGACUCUGGUUUCUUAGCAUGUCCUUCAUGUGCUAAGCAGAAUAAUGGCCCCCAUAGAAAUCCUAAUCUAGACCCUGUGAAUAUAUGUACCUUACAUGGCAAAAGGGACUGUGCAGAUUUGGUUAAAUUAAGGACCUUGAGGAGUUCCCACUGUGGCUUAAUGGUAACAGAUCCGACUACUAUCCAUGAGGAUGCAGGUUCAAUUCCUGGUCUCACUCAUGCUCAUUGGCUUAAGGAUCUGGCAUUGCCGUGAGCUGUGGUUUAGGUUGUGGACACAGCUUGGAUUUAGUGUUGCUGUGGCUGUGGUGUAGGCCAGCAGCUACAGCUCUCAUUCAACCCCUAGCCUAGGAACUUCCAAUGCCAUGGGAGCAGGCAAAAAAAACAAAAUAGGGCUCUGGAGAUGGGGAUUAUCCAGUUGGGCUUGCUGGAAUCAUGAGUUCUUAUAAGUGAAAGAGGAAGGCAGAUGGUCAAAGUGGUGCAGCAUGAAAGACUCAACCAGCUGUGGCUGACUUCAAUGAUGGAGGAAGGAAUGCAAGCAUCCCCUGGAAGCUGGAAAGCAAGAAAAUCAAUUCUCCCCUGGAGCCUCUAGAAGGAAUGCAGUUCAGCCUAUCCCUUGGUUUUAGCCCAGUGACACCCAUUUCAGAUGGACUUCCAGAAAGGUAAGAUAAUAAAUUACGUUGUUGUAAACCACCAAGUCUGUGGUACUUUGUUACAGCAGGAAGAAGACACAAGCACACCCCAAAUCCUCCUAGUAAGUGCCUGUUUGUUUUAGCAUGCUGUCUGCUUAAAGAAGCUUGACUCAAGUAUCCUUGCUUGUAACCAAAGAGCCAUACCCAGGAGAAGACUAAUUUCCAAGGCUCCUUCCCUCCACACCCCUUCUGUUUCCAUGUCAUGCAUUUCUGGCAGGCCAGCCCUCCUAUCACUCUUUACUGGGAUCUGAGCCCAGCUUAGUGAUAAAACCUUACCCUUGUGGCAGGCCUCCCAGAUGCCAACUGAUUGCUCACCUGGGUUGUUGUCCCUGGACCCAGAUUCCUUGUGUCUGUGCCUUGCCCACACUGUGAUCACACUGCUCCUUAUCUGGGACCCAGCCCACACUUCUCCACUUAUCACUGGCUGGAUGAUGACUUGCCGUUGCUUUUCUUCAUGUCACAUGGUGCCCCCAACACAGUCUAAACCACUUCCAUGGACUUCAACACCACCCCACCCCUCCAGUUGCCCAUCAGACCCCAGUAGGCAUGGCUAAUUUAGGAGCAGAGUACUAACAACUGGUCCCUCCUGGUGCAUGUUCAGGCUUGGCCUGGACAAAUUAGACAAACAGGACACUGCCUAUUGACAUCUGAUGGGUGGUUCAAGGUAUGUAGUACACAGAGUUUAUUUCAUCUAAGAACUCAACAAUGAAGCAAUUCUUCUUUCUAUGACCUAAAAAUACAAAUUCCCAAAGCACCAAUAAGGAGCAGAAGUUAAUGAGUAGCUUCCAUGUUCUUGCACAACUAAUACAAGUUAGAGAGGAAAGGACAGGAAGGCAUUUGAUGGGACAGUUUCCUAUUUACUGCUCUUACUGGGGUUUAUUUCAGCUUUGCCAACUGGCUGGAAUGAAAGAAAAUGCAAUGUAUUUCCUAUUCCUGCAUGUAUCUCUCACUCCAACAGGUUCACCAGCAUUAGAGGUGAUGUAGACAAAGCCUCUGUGUUGGGUGGGUAAGUGCAACUGACUCUAAGGUGUUCCAGGAACACACUUUAGCUCUAUAAAAGAUGAAGGGCCUACAUGGUGGUUCCUUCUGGGCAGCCAAGUUGAAAAGUUUCUUCUUCUACAAGGCACAAAAGAUUGA
rnacentral:lncRNA from 1 species